AUUGAACGCUGGCGGCAUGCCUUACACAUGCAAGUCGAACGGCAGCGGACCUUCGGGUGCCGGCGAGUGGCGAACGGGUGAGUAAUAUAUCGGAACGUACCUUUCAGUGGGGGAUAACGUAGCGAAAGUUACGCUAAUACCGCAUAUUCUGUGAGCAGGAAAGCAGGGGAUCGCAAGACCUUGCGCUGAUUGAGCGGCCGAUAUCAGAUUAGCUAGUUGGUGAGGUAAAGGCUCACCAAGGCGACGAUCUGUAGCGGGUCUGAGAGGAUGAUCCGCCACACUGGAACUGAGACACGGUCCAGACUCCUACGGGAGGCAGCAGUGGGGAAUUUUGGACAAUGGGCGCAAGCCUGAUCCAGCCAUGCCGCGUGAGUGAAGAAGGCCCU
rnacentral:rRNA from 1 species